rnacentral:rRNA from 1 species
UACGGAGGGGGCUAGCGUUGUUCGGAAUUACUGGGCGUAAAGCGCACGUAGGCGGCUUUGUAAGUUAGAGGUGAAAGCCCGGGGCUCAACUCCGGAAUUGCCUUUAAGACUGCAUCGCUAGAAUUGUGGAGAGGUGAGUGGAAUUCCGAGUGUAUAGGUGAAAUUCGUAGAUAUUCGGAAGAACACCAGUGGCGAAGGCGACUCACUGGACACAUAUUGACGCUGAGGUGCGAAAGCGUGGGGAGCAAACAGG